ACUCAAGAAUUACGAACUGAAUACUUAACAUAAUAUAAAUAUUGAAUUGAAGCGUACGUUUGAAGAGUUUGUUGUUAAUGUCAAAUAAUUGAAGUGUAUCCUCGUGCUUACUGUGUUCGUUUCUAAAGCGUAUAUCAAGUUUUGUAAUUCAUUUUAACAGACGACUCCCACAUUUAAUAAUACUAGAGGUCCCGCAGUAGUCGAAAUUCGACUAUAAUUAAUUGGGAUUUGAUGGACCGGGCGCCGCAGCCGAGUAGUGACGCAGGGGCGCCGCACUGCGGCACACACGGGCGACCCGACGCACCACAACGACUCUACCGACAUAUUUACAGCAUACGACACGAUAUUUGAACGUCUCAUUAUAUAAGUUUAUUUUAUUAAACUAAACCAUAUCAGUUUAUAAGGAAAUACAACUUAAAAUAUGUAAAUUUGCUUGUUAUUUGAUGUUUUGCGUUGUCAAUUAAAAUAACUAGUUUGUUUCUGUGAAAUAACUAAAACAUUGAUGACAUUUAAAAUUUUACUUCUAGAAAAUUAGCGUCUUAAUGUGAAAAAAAAAUCAGUAUCAACAAACCUCAAAUAACGGUAAUUUUAGAAUUUUAUUUAAGAUCAAUAAAUAGUAUAUGAUAAUUAAUUAUUUAAAUAAUUAGAAGAUCAGUACUUUUGCAACAUAAUUGUUAACUUAUCCCUAGAAACAGUAUCAUAAGAUAACAAUAUAUUUCUUUUUAUAUUAUACAAUAUCCAUCUUAUCAUAUAUAAUAUGAAGUGGCCGCCUCAUAUUAUAUACCCACCCAGACGAAGGGGCAACGCAAAGCCUCCGACGCCCUAAGCACAUCCUAUCCAGCCCUCCACUCUCGGUACUUAUAGACACUACAAGCGCUAGUUACUGUUCUCGUCGAACUCCUCAACUGCGGCGAAGAGUUCUAAGUGCAAUAUAGCCAAUAGACCAUCAAGAGAUGCCAAAUCUUUAGGACAUUAUGCGGACAUAUGCUACGUUGCAAAACAAAUAAAUGGAGUAUCCUUAUGGUAUCCAAGAACAGACAUCUGAAGACAGGGGUGUCUGAAAACAAAAGGGAGUGAUGAUACCCGUCUAACCCUAGGAUCAUCUGGACCAGAGUUGCAGAAGACCUAGUUCAAUGGGGAGGGCUGGAGGAGACCUAUGCCAAGGGGCACACCGAGUUGCGUGAUAUAUCAUAAGAAAUAAAUAUAUAAAAUCAAAUACGUUAAAUUGCAUGUAGUUCGGAAUAAAAGGGCUUUGUUAUUAUAA